AAAUGGGGUGACAUUGGUGGCCAUGGGGUGGCAAUAGGGUGUCACUGAUGGCCAUGGGGUGGCAAUAGGGUGACACUGGUGGCCAUGGGGUGGCAGUGGGAUGGCAGUGGUGGCCAUGGGGUGGCAUUGGUGGCGAUGGGGUGGCAAUAGGGUGACACUGAUGGCCAUGGGGUGGCAAUGGGUGACACUGAUGGCCAUGGGGUGGCAAUAGGGUCUCUGGUGGCCAUGGGGUGGCAUUGGUGGCCAUGGGGUGGCUGUAGGGUGACACUGAUGGCCAUAGGGGGGCAGUAGGGUGACACUGAUGGCUGUGGGGUGGCAAUAGGGUGGCACUGAUGGCCAUGGGGUGGCACUGGUGGCCAUGGGGUGGCCAUGGGGUGGCAGUGGGUGACACUGAUGGCCAUGGGGUGGCAAUAGGGUGACACUGAUGGCCAUGGGGAGGCCAUGGGUGGCCAUGGAGUGGCAAUAGGGUGGCACUGGUGGCCAUGGGGUGGCAAUGGUGGCCAUGGGGUGGCUAUAGGGUGACACUGGUGGCUAUGGGGUGGCCAUGGGGUGGCAGUGGGUGACACUGGUGGCCAUGGGGUGGCAUUGGUGACCAUGGGGUGACCCUGGUGGCCAUGGGGUGGCCAUAGGGUGACACUGAUGGCCAUAGGGGGGCAGUAGGGUGACACUGAUGGCUGUGGGGUGGCAAUAGGGUGACACUGAUGGCCAUGGGGUGGCAAUAGGGUGACACUGAUGGCCAUGGGGUGGCAAUAGAGUGACUCCGGUGGCCAUGGGGUGGCAUUGGUGGGCAUGGGGUGGCAAUAGGGUGACACUGGUGGCCA
rnacentral:lncRNA from 1 species